UACGGGGGGAGCAAGCGUUGUUCGGAUUUACUGGGCGUAAAGGGCGCGUAGGCGGUCGUGACAAGUCACUUGUGAAAUCUCCGGGCUUAACUCGGAACGGUCAAGUGAUACUGUCGGACUAGAGUACAGAAGGGGCAACUGGAAUUCUCGGUGUAGCGGUGAAAUGCGUAGAUAUCGAGAGGAACACCUGCGGCGAAGGCGGCUACCUGGACAGUUACUGACGCUCAGGCACGAAAGCGUGGGGAGCAAAAGGG
rnacentral:rRNA from 1 species